AGCAGUAGCCGCGGGAAUACGAAGGGGGCUAGCGUUGCUCGGAAUCACUGGGCGUAAAGGGUGCGUAGGCGGGUCUUUAAGUCAGGGGUGAAAUCCUGGAGCUCAACUCCAGAACUGCCUUUGAUACUGAAGAUCUUGAGUAUGGGAGAGGUGAGUGGAACUGCGAGUGUAGAGGUGAAAUUCGUAGAUAUUCGCAAGAACACCAGUGGCGAAGGCGGCUCACUGGCCCAUAACUGACGCUGAGGCACGAAAGCGUGGAGAGCAAACAGGAUUAGAUACCCCCGUAGUCCCUGUCUCUUAUAC
rnacentral:rRNA from 1 species